rnacentral:rRNA from 1 species
GCUAACACCAGUCAUGAAGCAGUGGUAAGUAGGAGUGUUCAAGCGUGAUCCGUAUGUAUUUGGUUUAAAAGUGCCGUAGGAGGGGCGAUAUGUCAUGGGUGAAUUCUCACAGCUUAACUGGGAAACUACCGUUGAUACUGUAAGUCUUGAGUAAAUUUGAAGUGGCUGGAAUAAGUAGUGUAGCGGUGAAAUGCAUAGAUAUUACUUAGAACACCAAUUGCGAAGGCAGGUCACUAAGAUUUAACUGACGCUGAGGUACGAAAGCGUGGGGAGCGAACAGGAUUAGAUACCCUAGUAGUC